AAUCAACGCUGGCGGCGUGCCUCAGACAUGCAAGUCGAACGAUUAAAGCUCUCUUCGGAGAGUGUAUAAAGUGGCGCACGGGUGAGUAACACGUAAGUAAUCUACCUUCGAGUGGGAUAACGUCCGGAACGGACGCUAAUACCGCAUAACGCAGCGGCAUCGCAAGAUGACAGUUGUUAAAGAUUUAUCGCUUGAAGAGGAGCUUGCGGCAGAUUAGCUUGUUGGUAAGGUAACGGCUUACCAAGGCUACGAUCUGUAACCGGUCUAAGAGGACGGUCGGUCACACUGACACUGAAUAAC
rnacentral:rRNA from 1 species